CUUUUGCAAAAUUGACCCAAAAUACUAUGAGCCAUAUUAUUCCCGUGUAGCUUUUUUUAUUUUUUAAUGUAUAUACCCAAUGUCUUGAAAGGUUGAACUCAUGGAAGUAACAUUCAAAAACAUCCACUGUAUUUGAUUAUGUAAAAUGCAACUUUCUUGUGAAAAAUAUGUUUUAUUUUACUGUGAUGAGUUCAAAUAGCUCCAUCUAAGGGUUAAGCCUGCGCUGUUUGCAGGAGGAAGAUGUAUUUUUGUUAAUACAUGUAAUUCAUUCCUAUUUUGAGAUAGGGACUUUACUGGUCUUAGUCUUAUAAUAGGAAUUAUAUAUGUCUUGAAAUGUUCUAAUUUCUUUAGUUUAAAAUAUUAAUUUGGCUGUCACCUAAAUUAUGUCUUUUGGUUGGGUCAUUUUAUAUCUUUAUGAGAUUGAUUAAAAUUGCAUAAUGGGUUUGCCCAUGUGAAUUUUCUGUUUUUUCAAGAUUGAAUUUUUAGGGAAAAAGGAAGACCUAUGGUCGCUUAAGGGGCUUCCCUGGUGGCUCAGAUGGUAAAGAAUCUACCUGCAAUGUAGAAGACCCUAGUUUGAUCCACUGGAGAUAGGAAAGCCUACCCACUCCAGCCUUCUUGCCUGGGAAAUCUCAUGGACACAGGAGCCCGGUGGGUUACAGUCUAUAGGGGCUGGAGACGGUAGAACACGGCUGAGCAACUGAGCAUGCAUGAACGCUAAACCAUCACAUGACAUUCUCUGCCCUUCAUUUGCAGCAGAAGGAAAGGAAAUUACGUUGCUCACUUCUUCCUUUGUGUGCAAAAGCUGGGAGUGUGUGCAGAGACUGCUCCCCUUGAACACGACGCCCCGGAGUUCCCUUUACCUGGACAAGCCAGCCUUUCGAACAGCGCCCCACACGCCGGGUGCUGCAGAAGUGAUACAAGGAGCGAGACUGUUGAAUGCAGAGAUGGCAUAGAAGAAUUCGGACAGCUGUCUUCCUUUUAUCCACUUUAAAUGGCGGUCAACUUUUGCAAGUCCUUGUAACACCGGACUGAUUCAGAGAGAAACCAAGGAUAAUCUGGGAGGUUUGCACAGCUGAUGAGUCAUAAGCUCCCAAGGGUUUCCUUUACCAAAGACAGCAAUGCUUUUAAUCUCAAAGUCUGCUUUGUAAAAUGGUGAAUGAAAUAAUGAUUUGCAGCUUUAUUUUUUGUUGCUGUUUAGAGUGGGUUAUUUAAGAAUCGCUCUUUCCUGGUUGCAAGGAGAUGGUUAUAACCAAGAAUCAAGCACACGGCUGAAGGUCGCUGAC
rnacentral:lncRNA from 1 species